CCGCCGCCUCCACCUCCUCCUCUUCCUCUCACUAAAGCACAUUCAAUCAUUCCUCCUCCACCGCCUCCCCCAAGUUAUGGAUCGCCACCUCCUCCAAGUUAUGAACCUCCAGUUCCUCCACCACCGCCUCCUUUUAGUAAAACUUCCCCUCCACCACCACCACCACCACCUCCAUUUAGUUCUGGUGGGCCUCCGCCUCCACCACCACCUCCAUUUAGGUCUGGUGGACCUCCACCUCCACUUCCUACACCAAUGAGUGCUCCACCUCCACCACCACCUCCAUUUAGGUCUGGUGGACCUCCCCCUCCACCUCCAACUCCGACACCAAUGAGUGCUCCACCUCCACCACCUCCUCCGAUGCGUGGAGGAGCCCCACUGCCAC
rnacentral:lncRNA from 1 species